rnacentral:rRNA from 1 species
UGUCUGGGAAACUGCCUGAUGGAGGGGGAUAACUGCUGGAAACGGUAGCUAAUACCGCAUAACGUCGCAAGACCAAAGUGGGGGACCUUCGGGCCUCAUGCCAUCAGAUGUGCCCAGAUGGGAUUAGCUAGUAGGUGGGGUAACGGCUCACCUAGGCGACGAUCCCUAGCUGGUCUGAGAGGAUGACCAGCCACACUGGAACUGAGACACGGUCCAG